CGCGCCGCCGCUGCUCGGGUGGGGAGGAGGAACGCCGACUCUGCGUGGGGAAGGUGAGAAGAGAGAGAGAAUGAGAAGUGACGUUGUUUGGGGUCCCUGCGCGGGACCCACUCAACCCGCCUGGAGCGACUUCGUCCACCAGAUUUUGACAAACGAGUCCAACCCACAUUUGAGAGGAAUAUUCCACCCUGGAGCCAAUCCAACCCUCCCAUCCUCCAACCAAACAGCCACGGGAACGGGUUCGCUCCGGCCCGGCUCGCCCCGCUCUCUAACCAAACACACGGUAAGUCGGGUAGGAGAUGGUAUCAAGGGCGUGUUUGGUUUGGAUGUUAAAGUUUAACAGGUAUUAUAGUAGUUUUGUCUUAUUUGAUAAUUAUUAUCCAAUCAUGAACUAUUUAGACUUAAAAGAUUUGUCUCUCAAAUUACUCUCCACCCUGUGUUUUUAGUUUUGUAAAUAGUCUAUAUUUAGUACUCUAUGCAUAUGUCCGAACAUUCAAUGUGAUGUAAACUUUAACAAGACAAAUCAAACUGGGCUUAAAGGAGUCAGUUGACGGAUGGAUGCAUCAAUCAAGGCCUUGUUUAGUUUCAAAAAAUUUUGCAUGAUGCAAAAAAAACGUAAUUUUUUUUUUAAAAAUUUCUCAUCACAUCGAACCUUACGAUCUAUGCAUGGAACAUUAAAUAUAGAUAAAAAAUAACUAAUUAUAUAGUUUGUCUGUAAUUUGUGAGAUAAAUCUUGAGCCUAGUUAGUCUAUAAUUGAACAAUAUGUCAAAUACAAACGAAAGUGCUACAGUAUCCAUUUUGCUAAAAAUUUUGGAACUAAACAAGGCUCAAAUGGAUGGGUAUGCCAUUUAGGGCAGUCUCAUGGCUUGUUUCUAUUCCUACUAAUUUUUAUAGACAAUAUAUAUAGAAAUCAUGGUCCUAAUGGAUAGUUUCUAUAGAUUUUUUUUAUUUGAUGAUAUUCAAUCUCUCCAUUCUCAACCAAUCAUAUCACUCUUUGUCUUUGGAUCUCGUGUAGACAUGGUUUCUAACUUAGACCUGGUUUCUAUGAUUUUUGCUCUCUCUCUUCAAUAACUACCUUGCCACAUUAGCAAAAUGCUUAGGUGGUACUAUAAUUAAUGUCUACAAAAACAAUGAUGAUUUCUGCAUUGAGAGUGCUAUUAUAUAGGAAAAUUUCAACUUUGUGAAUUCUAGUGCCAAAUAUAGAGACUGAUUUUGUUUUAAUGUCAAAUACGUAAUUUUCUCAAUAAUUAGCAUGAUAUAUUUUAGUCUUAGUCGCCACGUUUCAAGUGGGUGUAGUAGUUUUUGUAUAAACUAAUUUAAUUGCAUUUUAAUUGUUUAGAGACCAGAUUAUCCACCCACUCUUGGGCCAUUUGGCCUUUUGAAAGUACUAGAUUCGAUCAUGGAUAGAUCAUCACUAUACACUCGUUCUCUUGAAGUUUUCGUUCAUAGGCUGCUUCAUCAUGGAU
rnacentral:lncRNA from 1 species